ensembl:ncRNA C32D5.18 ncRNA
CCAAUUUCCAUACAAAAGAGAAAUAUUUUAGGAUCAUAGGAGAGAUGGGUAUUGCAAAUGGAUGUUUAGAUGGGAAUGGCUUCAAAAUGGUUGAACAAAUCGAGAAAGAUGCAUUGCAGAGAAUUAUGUCGGCAGAUUCGGCUUAAG